rnacentral:tRNA from 1 species
UUCCUGGCAGUCCAGUGGUUAGGACUCUGCACUUUCACUGCUGAGGACAAGGGUUCCAUCCCUGGUCAGGAAA